rnacentral:tRNA from 1 species
CGAUAGCUCAGUUGUGUAGAGCGGGGGACUGUAGAUUUAUAAUUGUGAUCCCUAGGUCGCUGGUUCGAAUCCGGCUCG